GGAAGCGGCCAAGUCCACAGUCCUGCUCCCGUGCCGCCGAGCACCGCCCACCUCAGCUGACCAGCCCUGUCCGCUACUAGGCCUCGCCUAGAGGAGGGAAAGGCCGUGGCGUCCGCUCCCUCCGCGGCUCAUGGCGACGACGCUUGGCACAUCCGGGACCCUCAGGCCGCUGCAGUCGCGUCGCCGGCUGCUCGGGCCCCAGCCCCGGCCGCUGUGGUGACUCCGCCGCGCCUCGCCGUCGCCCCCGUCCCGCCCGCCGCCCCAGCCGCCAGGGACAUGUCUAACCUCGGAGGCCGUAGGAACGGGCCUGUCGAAGUGCGCCUGACAGGUGAAGGGGGCGCGGCGGGCCGGGCUGGGCAGCCGCGAGGGACAUGCCACCCCCGUUUUAGGAGAACUUGUAUUUGGUUUGAGAAGGAAUUGGAAUCACGGCGUUAUCCUACCUUCACCAUUUACCCCUGAUAAAUUGUCCACGUUUAUAUUUGGGAAUCAUAUUGACAGGUCAUGAAAAUGAGACCAAAAGAUCUCUGGAAGCGAUUAAUGAUAAAAUUUCAUGGAGAAGAAGGCCUUGACUACGGAGGGGUUGCCAGGGUGAUGACAACUCCGUGAGGGUGGAGAUUAUACAUCUCUCAUCAUUUCAGCAACAAGGAAAUAAAUUAGUGGCAGAGUAAGGGUGACUUGGUGAGUACAUCCAAUUGUUGACAUAGUUUUGGGUGGGAGAAAUUUUGCUAUUAUAUCAACUUCUUAAAAUG
rnacentral:lncRNA from 10 species